GUGCUGACUUCUGCAGCAUAUACACUAAUAUUGCAACUGUACAGAGAAGGUGAGUAUGGCCCCUGUAGAAGAUGACAUGCAAAUUAAUGAAUUGUUCUAUAGUUUU